GGGCCAUUUGCUUAGCCUGGUUAACGGCAUUACAUCAAGCGUGGCCAACAAGCGCAGGUCUUAUACGCCUGAGAGCCGGGGUUCAAAUCCCCGAUGGCCCA
rnacentral:tRNA from 1 species